rnacentral:tRNA from 1 species
GGCCCUGUAGCUCAGCUGGAUAGAGCGGCUGCCUCCGGAGCAGCAGGUCAGAGGUUCGAAUCCUCUCAGGGUCA